ensembl:lncRNA
GUAUCUGAGCAUGCGUUUAAUCAGAAGUCCAAUGAUUUAGGGCGCUGCCAUGUAUGGUAUAAGUAUUUUGGGAUAUGGAUCCACGAUGGCCAUGUUUGAAGUCUGAGGUGUAUGCUGGGUAUUGUAGUUCCCUGACCUGAAGGUCUGCAGCGCUUGAAUGAAGUGUUAGUUAAACGUGUUCAAUUGAAACCCUUUCAAAAAAAAAAAAAAAAAAAAAAAAUUGUUAAAACAUAUUUAGAUGUUACAUCCUAGGGGUUUUGUUUUAUAAAAUCUGUUGUGAGAAAAUGCUUGUAUGCCCUGUAUUGCGCGCUGUUUCUCUCUCUCACUCAGGUUAAUUACCAUCAGCUGCAACUCGUUGGGGAGCAUGCCUGAGUCUUAGUAGUUGCUCCUCUCACAGACCUCCUGAGCACAAUGAGAAUGUUUAGGUGGAGCAGGGACUGUGAUCGAGCAUUUGAAGCUGCUAAAGACCUGUUGAGUAAUGCCCCUGUGUUAGCUGCCCCUAACUUCAAGCUGCCAUUCAAACUGCAGGUGGAUGCAAGUCACGUCGGUGCCGGAGCUGUCCUUAUUCAAGAGGAUGCUCAAAGCGUUGAACACCCGGUGUCUUAUUUCUCCCACAAGUUCUCAAAGGCGUUUGCUGCGCUGGGCUCUCAAGCUUCAAGAUUUUAAUCUCCAGGUCCAGCACAUCAAAGGCACCGACAACAUUGUAGCCGAUGCGCUGUCCAGAUCUGUUGGGAUGGCAACUUAGGUGACGUGUAUGUUGGGGAUGGUGGUACAGAAACCUUAUAGAACCCUGGUCUGUAAUCUUCGUGGUGGGGGUGUUACAUCCUAGGGGUUUUGUUUUAUAUAAUCUGUUGUGAGAAAAUGCUUGUAUGCCCUGUAUUGCGCGCUGUUUCUCUUUCUCACUCAGGUUAAUUACCAUCAGCUGCAACUCGUUGGGGAGCAUGCCUGAGUCUUAGCAGAGGAGUAUUAAGGCAGCACUCAGAGAAGCAUGUGGGAGAGGAACACUUCUCCCCCAGCCUCAGACUGAGAUUGUGUGUUUGUGUAUUUUGGUGAGGACUGUGCCUAUCCUUGAGUUGGGAGUGGACCUAUACUCAUCUGGUUGGUGCUAAGACGUGAUCGGGUUUGCUGUCUAGUGUUGAUUUCUCUACCUGUGGGUAAUUAAAAGGUAUUGUAUGUAAUCUUAUUAGCUCUGGUCCUUCUAGAUUAUCUGGGAAAUGUAGGGAGAGGGUGCCUUUUUAUUUUAUACAUUCUUUUUCUCCUGUUUUUGGUUAGAGAGGGAGCUCAGGGAAGUUCUUGUUGUUGAUUUUCAUCUUUGCUUUUGUACAGGGUAGAUAGCUCCCUUAAACCUUAGUUAGCUCUGGUUUUCUUUGUUAUUUUAGGCCCUGCUCUCUCCUGAAGACUUAUUCCCAUCCUUUGUUAACCAUUUCAAUUUAUAACAGAAAUAAAUACUUUUGCUUGUACUUGAAGCUGUGUUUG